GGGGGCGUAGAUCAGAUGGCAGAGCGCUCGCUUAGCAUGCGAGAGGUACGAUGAUCGAUACCCCGCGCCUCCU